rnacentral:rRNA from 1 species
UUUUAUGAGAGUUUGAUCCUGGCUCAGGACGAACGCUGGCGGCGUGCCUAAUACAUGCAAGUCGAACGCUUCUUUUUCCACCGGAGCUUGCUCCACCGGAAAAAGAGGAGUGGCGAACGGGUGAGUAACACGUGGGUAACCUGCCCAUCAGAAGGGGAUAACACUUGGAAACAGGUGC